rnacentral:rRNA from 1 species
ACUACGGGUGGCUGCAGUGGGGAAUAUUGGGCAAUGGGCGCAAGCCUGACCCAGCAACGCCGCGUGAAGGAAGAAGGCUUUCGGGUUGUAAACUUCUUUUCUGAGGGACGAAGAAAGUGACGGUACCUCAGGAAUAAGCCACGGCUAACUACGUACCAGCAGCCGCGGUAAUACGUAGGUGGCAGGCGUUAUCCUGAUUUAUUGGGUGUACAGGGCGUGUAGGCGGGAAAGCAAGUCAGAUGUGAAAACUCAGGGCUCAACCCUGAGACUGCAUUUGAAACUGUUUUUCUAGAGUGCAGGAGAGGCAAUCGGAAUUCCGUGGGUAGCGGUGAAAUGCGUAGAUAUACGGAGGAACACCAGUGGCGAAGGCGGAUUGCUGGACAGUAACUGACGCUGAGGCGCGAAAGCGUGGGGAGCAAACAGGAUUAGAUACCCCUGUAGUC